UGAGCCGUGUCCUCUCACAGGAGAGUACAUCACUGAAUAUGAGAGCCAGGGGGCAGUGCCAAACACGCGGCACCAGGAGAAGGAAGACAUCAUCAGGCUGGCCCAGAAGGAGGAGGAGAUGAAGCUGCUGUUCAUUCUUUUUGACUGCUUGUGACAACACCAGAAGAUAGAGAUCCUGAGAUCUUUUAAGAACUGCUGCUGGGAAUGUACACUGAUCUGACCACUUUGGAAAACAGUUCGGCUCCAUCUCAUAAGGUUGAAUAUUCACACUCCUCCCAGCCCAGGAAUUCUACUCUACAUCCAAGAGAAAUUCUUGCCUAUAUAAAACAGGGGGCAUGUACAAGGAAUGUUCCUAAUAGUUCUGUUCAAAAUAGCAAAAACCUAUUGCCCAUCAAUAGUGGGUGACUAAAUUGUGCUUUUUAUUCCUUUCGAUUUCCUGUAGUCUUAUCAUGCAAGUGGCUUUCCUUGUCUCAUUCCUGAUUUUAGGGGAAGGCAUUCAGUCUUUC
rnacentral:lncRNA from 1 species